rnacentral:rRNA from 1 species
UACGUAGGGUGCGAGCGUUGUCCGGAAUUAUUGGGCGUAAAGAGCUCGUAGGCGGUGUGUCACGUCGGCCGUGAAAAACCUGCAGCUUAACUGUGGGCGUGCGGUCGAUACGGGCAUCACUGGAGUUCGGCAGGGGAGACUGGAAUUCCUGGUGUAGCGGUGAAAUGCGCAGAUAUCAGGAGGAACACCGGUGGCGAAGGCGGAUCUCUGGGCCAUUACUGACGCUGAGGAGCGAAAGCGUGGGGAGCGAACAGG